rnacentral:rRNA from 1 species
AUUGAACGCUGGCGGCAGGCUUAACACAUGCAAGUCGAGCGGUAACAGAGAGUAGCUUGCUACUUUGCUGACGAGCGGCGGACGGGUGAGUAAUGCUUGGGAAUAUGCCUUAUGGUGGGGGACAACAGUUGGAAACGACUGCUAAUACCGCAUAACGUCUACGGACCAAAGGAGGGGAUCUUCGGACCUUUCGCCAUUUGAUUAGCCCAAGUGAGAUUAGCUAGUUGGUAGGGUAAUGGCCUACCAAGGCGACGAUCUCUAGCUGGUUUGAGAGGAUGAUCAGCCACACUGGGACUGAGACACGGCCCAGACUCCUACGGGAGGCAGCAGUGGGGAAUAUUGCACAAUGGGCGAAAGCCUGAUGCAGCCAUGCCGCGUGUGUGAAGAAGGCCUUCGGGUUGUAAAGCACUUUCAGUUGUGAGGAAAGGAGUGUAGUUAAUAACUGCAUUCUGUGACGUAGCAACAGAAG